GACGAACGCUGGCGGCGUGCUUAACACAUGCAAGUCGAACGGAAAGGCCUCUUUCGGGGGGUACUCGAGUGGCGAACGGGUGAGUAACACGUGAGUAACCUGCCCUUGACUUUGGGAUAACUUCAGGAAACUGGGGCUAAUACCGGAUAGGAGCUCCUGCUGCAUGGUGGGGGUUGGAAAGUUUCGGCGGUUGGGGAUGGACUCGCGGCUUAUCAGCUUGUUGGUGGGGUAGUGGCUUACCAAGGCUUUGACGGGUAGCCGGCCUGAGAGGGUGACCGGCCACAUUGGGACUGAGGUGCGGCCCAGGCUCCGACGGGGGGCAACAGGGGGGAAGAUUGCACAAUGGGUGGAAGCCUGAUGCAGCAACGCCGUGGGCGGGAUGGCCGGCUUCGGGUUGGAAACCGCCUUCGCUCAUGACGAAGCUUUGGGUGACGGUAGUGGGUAAAGAAGCACCGGCUAACUACGUG
rnacentral:rRNA from 1 species